rnacentral:snRNA from 1 species
CUUCACCUGUGUAAACCAUCACA